rnacentral:misc_RNA from 1 species
AACGCACAUUGCGCCCCUUGGUAUUCCGGGGGGCAUGCCUGUUCGAGCGUCAUUAUCACCCCUCAAGCUCAGCUUGGUGUUGGGGCCUGCCCGUCAUAGGGCAGCCCCUAAAAUCAGUGGCGGUGCCAUCUGGCUCUACGCGUAGUAAUACUUCUCGCGACGGAGUCCCGGUGGUGUCUUGCCAGAACCCCCCACUUUUUAAUGAUUGACCUCGGAUCAGGUAGGGAUACCCGCUGAACUUAA